rnacentral:rRNA from 1 species
AGUGAACGCUGGCGGCGUGCCUAAUACAUGCAAGUCGAACGGAAUUUAAAAGAGCUUGCUCUUUUAAAUUUAGUGGCGCACGGGUGAGUAAUAUAUAGCUAAUCUGCCCCUUGCUGGAGGACAACAGUUAGAAAUGACUGCUAAUACUCCAUACUCCUUUUUACCAUAAGAUAAAUCGGGAAAGAAUUUCGGCAAGGGAUGAGACUAUAUCGUAUCAGCUAGUCGGUGGGGUAACGGCCUACCGAGGCUAUGACGCGUAACUGGUCUGAGAGGAUGAUCAGUCACAUUGGAACUGAGACACGGUCCAAACUCCUACGGGAGGCAGCAGUAGGGAAUAUUGCGCAAUGGGGGAAACCCUGACGCAGCAACGCCGCGUGGAGGAUGACACUUUUCGGAGCGUAAACUCCUUUUGUUAGGGAAGAAUAAUGACGGACCUAACGAAUAAGCACCGCAUCC